CACGUAGGGUGCGAGCGUUGUCCGGAAUUAUUGGGCGUAAAGAGCUCGUAGGCGGUGUGUCGCGUCGGCCGUGAAAACCUGCAGCUUAACUGUGGGCUUGCGGUCGAUACGGGCAUCACUGGAGUUCGGCAGGGGAGACUGGAAUUCCUGGUGUAGCGGUGAAAUGCGCAGAUAUCAGGAGGAACACCGGUGGCGAAGGCGGGUCUCUGGGGCCGAUACUG
rnacentral:rRNA from 1 species